UGGCUCAGAUUGAACGCUGGCGGCAGGCCUAACACAUGCAAGUCGAGCGGAUGACGGGAGCUUGCUCCNNNAUUCAGCGGCGGACGGGUGAGUAAUGCCUAGGAAUCUGCCUGGUAGUGGGGGACAACGUUUCGAAAGGAACGCUAAUACCGCAUACGUCCUACGGGAGAAAGCAGGGGACCUUCGGGCCUUGCGCUAUCAGAUGAGCCUAGGUCGGAUUAGCUUGUUGGUGAGGUAAUGGCUCACCAAGGCGACGAUCCGUAACUGGUCUGAGAGGAUGAUCAGUCACACUGGAACUGAGACACGGUCCAGACUCCUACGGGAGGCAGCAGUGGGGAAUAUUGGACAAUGGGCGAAAGCCUGAUCCAGCCAUGCCGCGUGUGUGAAGAAGGUCUUCGGAUUGUAAAGCACUUUAAGUNNNAGGAAGGGUUGUAGAUUAAUACUCUGCAAUUUUGACGUUACCGACAGAAUAAGCACCGGCUAACUCUGUGCCAG
rnacentral:rRNA from 1 species